ensembl:lincRNA
ACUCCUGAGAAUGCUUAUUCCAGCAAAGAAGAAGAUCUUCCGAAAAAACAAGAUUAUAAGUCACAGUCUGUAAGAAAAGAAAAAGUAAAACAAGAUAGACUCCUGAGAACACUAAUUCCAGCAAAGAAGAAGAAGAUCUUCCUAAAAAACAAGGAUUACUCAAAGUUAUUGAGAAGAAAUACAGGUUCUGGUGGACAAUUUCCAGUCUGGUAUCUGCAUUUGGAGAGAUUCUACAGCACAUGCAUGAAUGAGGGAAAACACUGUGAUCAAUUGAAGUUGUCAUCCUCAUGAAGCUCAUACUGUUUUGCCUGAAAAAUAAAUAAUGGAGUAUCUGCUGAGGAGACUGGAAUGAGGAAGGAAUUCAUUAAGUCUGAUUGUCUCUGAACAGCAAAGUUCCUGAG